rnacentral:rRNA from 1 species
UACGUGGGGUGCAAGCGUUAAUCGGAAUUACUGGGCGUAAAGCGUGCGCAGGCGGUUUUGUAAGUCUGUCGUGAAAUCCCCGGGCUCAACCUGGGAAUGGCGAUGGAGACUGCAAGGCUAGAAUCUGGCAGAGGGGGGUAGAAUUCCACGUGUAGCAGUGAAAUGCGUAGAUAUGUGGAGGAACACCGAUGGCGAAGGCAGCCCCCUGGGCUAAGAUUGACGCUCAUGCACGAAAGCGUGGGGAGCAAACAGG